CUUCGAUUCAGAUGUAAAACUGUGCAACAACAACUCACCACAGACUGUUUUAAGAAACAUUAAUAUUGAAGUACAUUUAGCAGCUAAUGAACUGGAAGUCUCGCCUACAUUCUUACUAACCCUUUGAAGAAUAAGAGAAAAAAAAAGUCUAAAUGGGACCACCAUCAGUCUGGAGAAACCUCUCAUUUAGUACACAUAUAAAUGUCUGUAAGCCUGAAAAGAGCGGCAGGCCAUUAGUCUGCACUGUGUUGAUUGUAUGACUCACCUU